rnacentral:sRNA from 1 species
CCUCCAUUACUAUUUGAAUAUUACAUAUUGCCGACCAAGCGACAUCAGUGCAAAAUCAUGUGCAGUUCAAAGAUGCGGAUCUUGCAGGCUAGUUGUAGCAUUUAGCAACCUAAAUACUAUUAUACUGCGUGUACCCAAAUAUCGGUUGGAAUCCCCUAUUGAUUUGGAUUUGAAACAUGUUGCUUAUUUUUGUUUUCUGAUAUGACUGCGGAGUUUCAACUGGUCAACGAGGCCCUUCUUAGUAAAUCCCAUUUUUCAUUUUGGUUUUUGGCAUUUAGCAAUUGGUUCUCUGGUCAAUCAUCAGUACAGGGUGAAGCAGACUCGAGUACAUAACUUAUAAAAGAUAUUGGAAAGAAAAGCUUGGUAAAUGGUCAU